AUGCAUGCUUUUGCGUUUGGCUCUCAGAACCUGCUCGAGCGGAUGAAGAUGGAUGAGGUGUAUGCGUUUGCGUGUGUGUAUGGAGCUGAAUGUAUAAUGUUUCAGGGGGGGCUUUUGCCGGCAACGUUUUCCGCUCGUACUCGUACUCCUCCAAUCCCAACCUCAGCCAUUCACAUCUGGUUGCUAGGCAACAGAUGCAGCUCCGUUGCUUUUCUGUGGGUUCGUGAGCAAGCGUCUGGGAGGACAAAGCUUCUCUGUGGUCUGCCUGCUGAUGUUAGCAUCAGAGCAGUCGUUACAGCUCUCUGGAAGCCGCCGAAGAACUGCAUCCUGGUGAAGAUCAGGAGGAAAAUAUCUUUCCCAGAACCAGUUUCUCAGCUGAAGCCGACAUCAGCCAGGUACGUUCAAUUAAAAGCACAUUUCAACCCACACACUCACUCGUAAUGUAAAGGUCAUUUCACAACCUGGUGUCCACCCUGAGGGUAUCAUCCCCGGUUUCCUACUUCAUUUCCAUUUGACCCAGCUACAAAUGCCCAUUCUCCACGUCUUCUCCUACACAGAAAUAUUGGCCAUCAAUGGCUGAGUGCUCCAAUAAUGAGAUUUUCUGAGCCAGAGGGUGAAGGAGAAUAACGUUUUCUUUAAUUAACGAAGAUCAGAGAAUGAAUGAGAGUUUAAAAUAUCAUUCAUGGGUUGGGAAAAAAUCUAAUUACAAUACACACGGCUAAAUUGGCCUUUCAGUGAAUUGAUAUCGUGGGGGUUUGGUGCUGUAUUGCCGAUAUCAGUCUUUGUUCCGUUCAGGAAUUCUGCUCACAUCACGGCUCGCUCAAGCAUACACACAGAGACAUAAGCCCCUUAUAUUUAUCGCUAACAAGAAGCACAGGACGCCAGGCGUAUUGGGCAUUAGGCCGAUUCUGUCGCUCGGUCGUACAAGGGCAAGGCGUCAGUUAACACCAAAAUAGCAAAGCAGUCAUUAGGCGGGAGGUGGAGGCAGGCAAAUCUGUGCUGUUCUCACAGGCUUUUAUGGAAGGCACUGGGAAAAAUAGUUUUUAUAAUGAGAAUAAGGAAUUAUGGAGGGGGCUUGCGCUCCAAAUCACAUGAGCUGUUCCACAGUGCCCCCUUCUGGUCUGUAAGGGAACAUCAUCCACAGAUGAAGCCUCUGGUUAACAGGGGUUUUGUGAUGGCAGAAAAAAAUUAUAUUUGCAGCAAUGAGCCAGAAGUGUUCAUUUUUCUUAGAUAUUUGGCAUUAGAAUCUGAGUGGUUGGAUUUUGUGAGGUUUUUCUCAGAGAUACUUUGAUAAAAAAAAAAAAGUUUGGGAAAAAGCUUAUGUGCAUUUUUGCUUAAUACUUAGGCUCUAUGUCAGUGUUUUUGACUAAUGAAUAUUGUCCAAGACCAUAUUCAGUUCAAGUGAUAUUCAUUU
rnacentral:lncRNA from 1 species